CGCUCCGCCCCCGCGCUCCGCCCCCAACUCUCCUCUCGAGACGAGAUCCAGAAGGCCUCGAACAUCUUCGCAGCGCACCUGUUGCUGCCAUCCUUCAGGAAGAAGUGGCAGCCCCUGACCCAGAUCCUUUCAAAGGUCAGGCAGCCGCCGCAGCCACCUUUUCUUCGCUAGGACCCCGGAGAGCCACGGAGCCGGGGACCUUCAGGCCGGAAGUUGUCUCCCCAAGAAUUGGAAGAUGCCGGAGACCCGGAAGCUGCAGUGUUGGCGGAGGCGCAGCUGGGGGCGUUGUCGCCUUGGACUUUUCGCGCGAAGCAAAGUGGCUCUGAGAGCUACUUUCUUUUCACAAAUAAAUUUAAUUUAUUCCUGGGCUGCGGGUUCAGUCCCUGGCAGCCGUGGGUCCUGGACCACGUUCCCGUCACAGUUCAGUUGCCCUGGAAACGGAGCCCCCGGCACAGAUGUGGUUUUGAGCGUUUGCUAAGUGCCUGGCUCUGCUCUUGUGCACUUUUACAGAGCCCAGACCAAACCCCGCCGGAAUAAGCACCUGGAAAAGUGGUGGAAGCGACUACAGCUUUGUGGAGACUUGCAACUUCUCGCUUCCCAUUGUGGCCUUCAUUAAAACUACGCUUGGUUCUAGGAAUCCUAAGACCGAAGAGGCACAAUCUCUCCCUUGGACUUGGAAGAGUUUAUAGAGGCAGUGCAUAACAUGUAUGAUGAUUCGGGCAUUAGUAAGAGUCACAAGCCCAGAUUCCCACAGGAUAUAGCCAGAUGUCGUAAUAAGACUUAGAGGGAGGCAUAUCUCACACAAGAGCUUGCACACCCAAUCAUCACACUUAUGAACCGAAGGAUCUAACUCUUUUCUUUAGGGUCUUGCUAUGUACAUUGCAAGUGAACAUAUUCUUUAGUAAUGAAGAAGAAAUUCCAAGUUUGGAUUCUCCUGUCUUAGCCUCCUGAGUUGCUGACCUUAGAGGUGUGUACCACAGUGCCUGGAUUCAUUGUAAUUUCUGAGAAGCCAAUUGUUUCCCAAAGGAUUUGUUUAAAAAUAUUAAAUUUCGCAUUUCUUCUUAACCAAGAACAAAAUGGAAUUAAACAUGUGCAAAAUGACUGAAUGUCAAGUAACUAGUUAUACAGCCAGCUCAUUUACACUGAAUUAGUAAUUUACUCAGUCUGCAAUUUAUGUUAAUUAAGGAAAGACUAUUUUAUUCGUUAUACAUUUACAUAAUGAUAUAAAUGUCUCAUUCUCUUCUCUGCAAAUGUUAUUAUUAUCUCAAGUUUCAGCUCUUUUCUACUAUUAUCCUCUUAGAGUAAUCCAUACAAUGUUGUCAUUUUCAUUAUACUUUUGCUGGCAUGUAAUCGACAAUAUUCAACUUAAAAGUUAAGUAAGUUUUAAAAACACACAGGCUUCCCUUGGCUUAUAAAGCCAAGGGAAUUUACGCUCUACAUAAAGUUAUAUUUAACAAAGAUUAGACAGCCACCCUAAUAUAU